UACGAAGGGGGCUAGCGUUGCUCGGAAUCACUGGGCGUAAAGGGUGCGUAGGCGGGUCUUUUAAGUCAGGGGUGAAAUCCUGGAGCUCAACUCCAGAACUGCCUUUGAUACUGAGGAUCUUGAGUUCGGGAGAGGAUGAGUGGAACUGCGAGUGUAGAGGUGAAAUUCGUAGAUAUUCGCAAGAACACCAGUGGCGAAGGCGGCUCACUGGCCCGAUACUGACGCUGAGGCACGAAAGCGUGGGGAGCAAACAGG
rnacentral:rRNA from 1 species